CAGUCGCCGCGGUAACACGUAGGUCCCGAGCGUUGUCCGGAUUUAUUGGGCGUAAAGCGAGCGCAGGCGGUUAGAUAAGUCUGAAGUUAAAGGCUGUGGCUUAACCAUAGUACGCUUUGGAAACUGUUUAACUUGAGUGCAGAAGGGGAGAGUGGAAUUCCAUGUGUAGCGGUGAAAUGCGUAGAUAUAUGGAGGAACACCGGUGGCGAAAGCGGCUCUCUGGUCUGUAACUGACGCUGAGGCUCGAAAGCGUGGGGAGCAAACAGGAUUAGAUACCCCCGUAGUCCCUGUCUCUUAUACA
rnacentral:rRNA from 1 species